CCCCGCCGCACUGCGCACAUUGUUGACUACGCUCCUCUACAACACAAGAGUUAUUGUGCUCCUCUACAGCACAAAACCCUGGUCCUAGCUGUUCAGGAGAAUAGUGGACAAUUUCAGGGAAUUGGAGUCUACAAAUUCCCUACUGGAGUUGUUGAGCAGGAAGAGGAUAUUUUUGUAGUAGCAGUAAGAGAGGUCAAAGAAGAAACAGGGUUAUUUGAGAAAGUUAAGGCAUUAUAAGAAGUCUGCAUUUUGAAGCAUGUUAUUACCAGGCAAUUGAAGCAGCUAUAGAACUGAAUCUUAAAACAGUAGAGGCGGGAGCUCAGGGUGAACACAAGAUUUAACGUGGAUAUCUUCCUGUGACAACUUUUAGCUGUCAUUACCUUGUUGAUGAAGAAUUUAGGGAAGCUAUACAAGAAUUUUUAAUACGUGAAGCUUCCCAGGUAUGAUGAA